rnacentral:rRNA from 1 species
GUGGGGAAUCUUGCACAAUGGACGAAAGUCUGAUGCAGCGACGCCUCGUGAGUGAUGAAGGUCUUCGGAUCGUAAAGCUCUUUCGACUGGGAAGAUAAUGACGGUACCAGGAGAAGAAGCUGCGGCUAACUACGUGCCAGCAGCCGCGGUAAUACGUAGGCAGCAAGCGUUGUUCGGAAUUACUGGGCGUAAAGAGUGUGUAGGCGGUGCCGUAAGUUUGGCGUGAAAUCUCCCGGCUUAACUGGGAGGGUGCGCCGAAGACUGCGGUGCUUGAGGGUUGGAGAGGAAAGUGGAAUUUCUGGUGUAGCGGUGAAAUGCGUAGAUAUCAGAAGGAACACCUGUGGUGUAGACGGCUUUCUGGACAACUCCUGACGCUGAGACACGAAAGCGUGGGUAGCAAACAGGAUUAGAAACCCUUGUAGUCC